UUUUUGGUGUAUGGCACAAUAAAUUUUGGGUUUAGAGGAAGUUUAUCAAUAAACUAAAGUUAAUAA
rnacentral:tRNA from 1 species